rnacentral:rRNA from 1 species
CUUCCAUAACUCCCAUCCCAUGUUCCGUGUUUAGGAACAGCCAAUCCAACAAACAAACAAACGGAAACCCCCCGACACGCCCCCAACAGACCGGACGCCGACGCCGAUCCUCUGAAACUUCCGCCUUUUUUUUCCUUCCCAAUCCGCGGUGUGAUUCUUCCUCCCCUCCCCGCGCUGCCUCCCUGAUUUCUUUUCUCCCCACACCCGCCGGAUUCGCCCCCUUCCUUGCGCUCCUCAGCCGUCAUCCUCCCCCAACCGAAAUCCUCUUCGGCGGCGGCGGCGGCGAGCCAGGCCGGCUGGUGCUCUGCUGCCCGCGGGCCGGUAAGGAACCCUAGCUUGACAGCAGAUCGUCUCUCCCCCUAUUGC